rnacentral:rRNA from 1 species
UGGUGGAGUGAUUUGUCUGGUUGAUUCCGAUAACGAACGAGACGCCCAGAGUAAACUAGUUGAGGACUAAUUCGCGUUAGUAUCCAGCUUCUUGACUCGACAACUUGGUUCUACCAAGAGGAAGCAGGGCGCAAUAACA